AGCUUUGCGCAGUAGCAGUAUCGUAGUCAAUGAGGUUUAUCUGAGGCGCGAUUGUUGCUAAUAAAAUGGAACUUUCUGCCCCAAUUCUAAGAUGGUAGAUCCAGUCAUGUUAUGGAGUUUGGACGUUAUCCUGAGGG
ensembl:snRNA U4 U4 spliceosomal RNA